rnacentral:misc_RNA from 1 species
UGUUCAUCACCAAAGGAUGCAGUACUAG